rnacentral:rRNA from 1 species
AUAAUGGAAUAGGACCCUGUCCUCCUAUUUUCAGUUGGUUUUGGCAGCGCGAGGACUAGGGUAAUGAUUAAUAGGGAUAGUUGGGGGCAUUAAUAUUUAAUUGUCAGAGGUGAAAUUCUUGGAUUUAUGAAAGAUUAACUUCUGCGAAAGCAUCUGCCAAGGAUGUUUUCAUUAAUCAAGAACGAAAGUUAGGGGAUCGAAGACGAUCAGAUACCGUCGUAGUCUUAACCAUAAACGAUGCCGACCAGCGAUUAGGAGACGUUGAAUACAAAACACCACCAUCGGCGCGGUCGUCCUUGGCGUUCGUGUUCACGCACGAGCGCGAGGGCGGUUUAGCCCGGUGGCACCGGUGAAUGACUCCCU